UGUCCUACGGGGGGCAGCAGUGGGGAAUAUUGCACAAUGGGGGAAACCCUGAUGCAGCGACGCCGCGUGAGUGAAGAAGUAUUUCGGUAUGUAAAGCUCUAUCAGCAGGAACGGGACAAGACGGUACCUGACUAAGAAGCCCCGGCUAACUACGUGCCAGCAGCCGCGGUAAUACGUAGGGGGCAAGCGUUAUCCGGAUUUACUGGGUGUAAAGGGAGCGUAGACGGCAUAGCAAGUCUGAAGUGAAAGCCCAAGGCUCAACCAUGGGACUGCUUUGGAAACUGUUAAGCUAGAGUGCUGGAGAG
rnacentral:rRNA from 1 species